UAGUCCACGCCCUAAACGAUGCUUACUAGUUGUUGGCGAUAUACAGCCAGCGACAAAGAGAAAUCAUUAAGUAAGCCACCUGGGGAGUACGUUCGCAAGAAUGAAACUCAAAGGAAUUGACGGGGGUCCGCACAAGCGGUGGAGUAUGUGGUUUAAUUCGAUGAUACGCGAGGAACCUUACCUAGGCUAGAAUGCGAGUGAUCGCUCCUGAAAGGGAGUUUUCUUCGGACACAAAGCAAGGUGCUGCAUGGUUGUCGUCAGCUCGUGCCGUGAGGUGUUGGGUUAAGUCCCGCAACGAGCGCAACCCCUAUCUUUAGUUGCCAGCAUGUAAUGAUGGGGACUCUAAAGAGACUGCCCGUGUAAACGGUGAGGAAGGUGGGGAUGACGUCAAAUCAGCAUGGCCUUUAUGCCUAGGGCUACACACGUGCUACAAUGGCAAGAACAACGGGUCGCAACAUGGUGACAUGAAGCUAAUCUCUAAAAUCUUGUCUCAGUUCGGAUU
rnacentral:rRNA from 1 species